GGAGCACUGUUUGUGUACGUUCAACCCACAGUCUGAACACCUCACUCCCUGAGCGAUGAGACCCCACAUGAAGUUGGCACAGUAUUCACACCAGUGUGGACCUCGAAACGUGUGGACCUUAAAAUUGUGUGCUUUUUCAUAGUUGAAAUGGUUGUCGUUUUGAGUUAAGGCUGCUCUUCGGACCAAGGAGGUGAUCUUCUCAACCGGGGUAUUUUCUUCACUUGUUACACUUGCUUUUCUUGAUUCGUUUUUUGUUCUGCUCAGCCUCCGGGAGACCUUCUCUCUAAGCAGUGUGGCAUAUCCAAUGUGUUCGUAGAUGGGAUUUGUCGUCAUUUUGGAAAUAUACUCAGAAGCCUUUGUUUCUAUAUACAACGUUAUCAAGCCAUCUGUUACUAGAUCAUGGAUUGAUUCGAAUCUUUUCUCCCCAACGAAGUGCUUCCCAUCAUAGAACAACCUGUAGUUUAAGGUCUGAUUGCCAAAUCUGAGAGCAAGUGUGUAGCAGCCGGGUUGCCUCUGGCUUUCUCUUAGAAUGUAUGCUCCUUCCACGCCAGCAAGUAUCUCAUCUGCUUGCUCCCG
rnacentral:lncRNA from 1 species